UACGGGGGGGGCAAGCGUUGUUCGGAAUUACUGGGCGUAAAGGGCUCGUAGGCGGCCAACUAAGUCAUACGUGAAAUCCCUCAGCUUAACUGGGGAACUGCGUGUGAUACUGGAUGGCUUGGAUUUGGGAGAGGGAUGCGGAAUUCCAGGUGUAGUGGUGAAGUGCGUAGAUAUCUGGAGGAACACCAGUGGCGAAGGCGGCAUCCUGGCCCUGUCCUGACGCUCAGGGGCGAAAGCGUGGGGAGCAAACCGG
rnacentral:rRNA from 1 species